rnacentral:rRNA from 1 species
AACGCGAAGAACCUUACCAGGUCUUGACAUCCCCCUGAAGCUGCUAGAGAUAGCAGGGGCCUUCGGGACAGGGGAGACAGGUGGUGCAUGGUUGUCGUCAGCUCGUGUCGUGAGAUGUUGGGUUAAGUCCCGCAACGAGCGCAACCCUUGAUGUUAGUUGCCAGCAGGUGAAGCUGGGCACUCUAACGUGACUGCCGGUGACAAACCGGAGGAAGGUGGGGAUGACGUCAAAUCAUCAUGCCCCUUAUGACCUGGGCUACACACGUACUACAAUGGCCGGUACAACGGGGAGCGAAACCGCGAGGUGGAGCGAAUCCUUAGAAGCCGGUCUCAGUUCGGAUUGCAGGCUGCAACUCGCCUGCAUGAAGUCGGAAUUGCUAGUAAUCGCGGAUCAGCAUGCCGCGGUGAAUACGUUCCCGGGCCUUGUA